GAAUCUGCCUGGUAGUGGGGGAUAACGUUCGGAAACGGACGCUAAUACCGCAUACGUCCUACGGGAGAAAGCAGGGGACCUUCGGGCCUUGCGCUAUCAGAUGAGCCUAGGUCGGAUUAGCUAGUUGGUGGGGUAAUGGCUCACCAAGGCGACGAUCCGUAACUGGUCUGAGAGGAUGAUCAGUCACACUGGAACUGAGACACGGUCCAGACUCCUACGGGAGGCAGCAGUGGGGAAUAUUGGACAAUGGGCGAAAGCCUGAUCCAGCCAUGCCGCGUGUGUGAAGAAGGUCUUCGGAUUGUAAAGCACUUUAAGUUGGGAGGAAGGGUUGUAGAUUAAUACUCUGCAAUUUUGACGUUACCGACAGAAUAAGCACCGGCUAACUCUGUGCCAGCAGCCGCGGUAAUACAGAGGGUGCAAGCGUUAAUCGGAAUUACUGGGCGUAAAGCGCGCGUAGGUGGUUUGUUAAGUUGGAUGUGAAAUCCCCGGGCUCAACCUGGGAACUGCAUUCAAAACUGACUGACUAGAGUAUGGUAGAGGGUGGUGGAAUUUCCUGUGUAGCGGUGAAAUGCGUAGAUAUAGGAAGGA
rnacentral:rRNA from 1 species